UACGGAGGGUGCAAGCGUUAAUCGGAAUUACUGGGCGUAAAGGGUGCGUAGGUGGUUGUAUAAGUUAACUGUGAAAUCCCCGGGCUCAACCUGGGCAGGUCAGUUAAGACUGUAUGACUCGAGUAUGGGAGAGGGUAGUGGAAUUUCCGGUGUAGCGGUGAAAUGCGUAGAGAUCGGAAGGAACACCAGUGGCGAAGGCGGCUACCUGGCCCAAUACUGACACUGAGGCACGAAAGCGUGGGGAGCAAACAGGAUUAGAUACCCUGGUAGUCCACGCUGUAAACGAUGUCAACUAGCUGUUGGCCUUAUGAAUGAGGUUAGUGGCGCAGCAAACGCGAUAAGUUGACCGCCUGGGGAGUACGGUCGCAAGAUUAAA
rnacentral:rRNA from 1 species